UUGUAUUCAACACGUAUCCUUUUUUGAGCCUGAUAACACAAAACCACUGUCCCGCACCCUGCCUUGCUCUCCACACCGCAGUUGGAAGGCUCUGAUUUCCCAAAAGGCAGCACAGUCUCUUGCUCCAGCUGGAAUAACUAGAAAUAUACUUCCUGGAAUUAACUGUUUUACCAAGGAAACUCAUUGGUGCAAGCCCCAAGCCAACACUAACCUGAAAGGUAAAACACUCCUGAGAAGAGGUAGGAUAUGAAAACAGUAACAUUUGCAACACUUUGAGGUAACAUAUUGUGAUAUUUUAUAUUCAAUGUGUGUGCACAUUUUCCCAGCAAACUUGGAUAAAGCAAUUUAAUGAGUCCUUCCCCAUUACUUGUUUGACACUUGACAGAUGAGGACCAGCCAAAUGGUUUGUUAUAGAAAUUAUCUGUACGUAAAUGUGCUGGCUCUUACAUGACUUGCUUCUGCAAAGUAUUACUUAAGAGAACACUGCUUGUUCUGUACAGUGACAUGGCUGGGUGAUGUGUUUUUUAUUUGAAAGGGGUUGCAGCUAAUGAGAUGUGUUAGUGUAGCCCUAGAUUCUGGAAUGUGCUGCUCCUGUAGCAUCUUGUUACCACAUUCUGUUUACCUUCACCUAGAAGGUCUUCUGCUUUUUAAGAUUUCUGACAAGACAAGAUUUAAAAUAUUUAAUCACGUCUGGCAGACCUGAUUUACUAUUGAUUUGGUUUUUUUAAUGAAUAAUUAGGAAUAAAGACCAACCUUGGUGUAAGAUUAACUAGAACAAAGUAAUUUGUAAUAUUUAUUUUUGAGUGACUGCACUUAGAAAUAUGAAUAACAUAAAAUUUAAAUGAUAUAUGUGAAAUGUUCUCCUCUUCAGUGGCCUUUGAAUCGAGCUCAAGGACUGAUCUGUACAAUUUUAUGAACAAUUCAGCUUAAUUAUGCCAAUCUGGAUUUUGUAAAAAAAUCCAAACUUGUUUACAUAACACUUGUAUAAAAAAAGUGACAAACAAUACAUUGCAAACCACUUUAAAAAACUUAAAUACAUAAAUUGCAAGCGUAUUCUUUUAACUAUGAGGCAUCCAGGUUGUAACCAUAUUGGUCUAGAGGAAAAGGCAAUCAGGACUCGUAGUAGAGAGAUCUCUUAUUAGACCAACAAGAUUUUUGCAAAUAAAUAAAUAAAAUGUAUUUAAUUGCUUUAUAUAUAAAAGCAAUUAAAGAAAUUGUAUUUAUUUGCAAAAAUCUUGUUGGUCUAAUAAGAGAGAUCAUCUCUACUACGAGUCCUGAUUGCCUUCGAAAUAUGCACUUUAAAAAACCAAAUAUUUAUUCUAAGAUGAUUUGUCUUAAGGUAUUUUUUAAGAGUUAAACAUAUUUUCUUGCAUACACUGCGCACCUUUUUUCUAAAAACUGUCUGCUUGAAGUUGGUGUGUGCAUUUUGUGUGAGGAAAUGCAGUAAGAAGUGUCUGCUGCAUACCAAAGGAAAGGAAAAGUGAAGUCGGCAGAGAUCCACAGGGAGCAGAAAAAUGAACAGGCUCAGCUCCCUUGCUGCUGCUACUCAGUUACUAUGAGGAAAAAAUUGUUUUCUUCAUUCUGCCUUUCAAAAGUAUGGCUGGCUUAGUUGGCAAGAACAUGUCCCGUUAAUACGCCAAAAAGCUGAGAAUCCUUGUCUCAUGCCUCCCUACAAAAUCUGUGUAAAGCCUGGUGGUUUUACCUGAUAAGCAUCUAGCUGCUCUGGAGUAAAAAUGGUUUGCUUGUUGCCCAUGUCUGCCUCCGAGUCCCGAUUCUUGUCCCAUGGUUCUAUCCCCUUAAAUUACCUUUAUAGGAGUCCUGAAUAUUCAAAUUUGAAAAACUGCAACAAUGAGGUUCAGACAGGGGGGAUCAAGUAACCACCUUCUCUGCUCCAUGGAUUUCAGAAUCAUAAUAGGAGCAUUUCAUCGCAUCUUUAGUCUGACUAUAAGGCUCUCUUCCAGCAUCAUUCACCUGCCUUCUGUAUGCUCUGGCAGAGUCAUAUUACACCAUACAGCUAAACUCAAAACAGCUUCUUUGCCCUGUCUCUGAAAUUGAUAGGGGACUAUGUGGAUUUGUUGUUUGUGAUUCUGCUGAAAAAAAUGCAGACUGCUAAAAGCACUAGGAAUAUCUUUCUUCCUUCCUUUAAUAGUCAGCGUCAGAAGGAACCC